UGGGCACACCGCUGUCGAAGCGCGCGCUCUCCUUCAUCGCGGCCUCUCGCUUCACUCUCGUGAGGCUCUUCUCAUUCCACUUCUUCUGUCUCCCCAGUGCUCUCACGACAGCCCUCAGCGUGCCUUCUUUUUUUUUCCAUCUCAUCACUGUCUGAUCCGUCGCUUCGCUUUCUGCCAGCCAGCCUCCCUCAACCACGGCACCUCCUCCUCAGCUCUCGCUCCUCCCUCUUGGAAAUCCAAGAAGGGAAGUGGGGACGAAAGGCGAGCAAGCACGCCGGCAGCGCGCAUACCUCUCUCUCCUCCCUCUUCCUCCCUCCCUCGUGGCACGGAAGGCACCGGUGCAGAAGAAGGGCGAGCGCGAGAUCGCGAAACGCAGCGUGGUGGAAGUCGAAAAAAGAUAGAUCGAGUCAGUAUAACCAACAGCCGGCGCGUACAACGGAGCUCCCUUCUUAGUCCUCUUGGCCGGCUACCGAGCACAGCAGCAGCAGCAUGCCGCUCGAGCGAAAACGGCAGCGGCAGCAACUACUGCCGGCCCAUCCCGGUGCAGUGGAUUCACUUAGUGCUGACAAGCUUCUGGUCGUGCCGCCCGGUAACAGUGAUGUGGUAGCGGCAGUGCCCCGCGUCGCGGAGCUAUCGAUUAUUGAUGACGCUAUUCAUUACGCUCUUCAGCGGAUUCUUUUAUACGGCGUACCCAUAGCGGCGAACAUGGUGAUCCGUGACCUAGACUACGAGCUCGGUGGAAGUCUAAAGCCGAUGAACGAGAGCUGGCCGAAGGCGUACAAGUGGGCCGUGGUGCUCAUCAUUGUCUCCUCCAUCAUCUGUCUCGCAGUGGUGGGCCUGGUGCUUGCCUGUAUCGUUUUUGAGCGUCACCGUGAAGCCCAAGAUAAGUCGAAGAGGAAGAGCCACAGUGACUCCGACGAGGACGCGCACUCCCACAGAGAGCAUGAUGCACGAUCCCUACCGCAGGAUGACAGCCAUGCGGCGGAGGAGAGCGAUGACUCCUCGUACGAUAGCUGCGAUGACGAGGAAGAAGAAGGCGAGUGGAGUAACAGCAGUGACGAGGUCUGACGCGGACCAUGGACAUCUGAAAAGUGUCCACGUGCCUGCGAGUAUGUGCGGAGGAGAUUGCAGUGAAGCAUCUAUACACACACACACACACCGACACCGAUAGGCACACCUGCAUAACUCUCCUGCUCUCUUCCCACAUGUCUGCGUUUCUCGUUCGGUACUUCCCCCGCUUGGGACUGCGCUCUGCUCCCCCACCCCCCCCCCCACCUCCACCCCUCCUUUCUCUCAUAUUGUGCUGGCGUUGUUGUUGCCGCUGCCUUCGUCGCGCGACACUGCCGGUAUUGGUCGCCUCGAGGAUCUUUAUGUGUGUUUGUGUGUGUGUCUCGCCUUCUCCAUUAUCCGAUUGUGCUAGCUGGCAAACGCGUGACAUUGAACUAGACCCAUUCGCCUAUCCACCGGCAGACCCCUAUGACCCACAAUGUCCCCUUCCUUUUCCUGCUGCUGCUGCUGCUCCCACCCACUCCCAUGGGCUACCCACGGCGCAGACGCAGGCACGCCUUUUCAUUUUCGAUAUACCUCUUUUCCUGCCCUCGUUCUCUCGUCUUGUGUGAUGUGCUCAUUUUUCUAUCUGUAUGUGUCUAGGCGUAUCAAUCAUAGUCGAUCGUAGAGCUCCACCUCAGCACGGACCCCCUCACUGCCGCCGCCCCCCCCCCCAGUCUCUCUCACCCGCUCUCUGCCGCAGAGCAUCUUUCCUCGCUGUCUUGUCCUUUACGUGGAUGUUGUUGUGCCCUCGAGCAGAGAUGUGUCGCUGCAAGCAUGUGUGUUUGUGCGGAAGGGACGGCUGUCACGGAUGCUCGCGACGCAACCUCACCUUCGCUCCUUUCGCUUUCUUUUACCGUUCUCUUUUUGAUGAUUCCCCUGCUGUAUUCUUCGGGCGCAUGUUUUGUACGCGCACGUGUUGCUUGGUUUCGUGGAUGGGCGUUGUCGCCCUCUCAUUGUGUCUCCCUAUCGCCCCCCGCAGAGCACGCCCAGCAGCUGCGUUGAAAUGGAGAAACGCUGCUGCAGACAUCAACGCCAGGGAAUGAGGGACAAAAAUUAUGAUGCACCGUGAUAGUGGUGGUUGCGGCUGUUACUAGUAAUGCGCAGGCGCUGGCAACAGCAGCACCUGCACUCCUGCUCUUCUUCCACCACUAUUGUCUCCCUUCCUUGCUCCUCUCCCUCUCUCAGUGCUUCCAGCAUUAGCCGCCACUGGUGAAGUGUGCUGCAGGAGCCGGUAGUCUGACAGAGAUGCGUACACACGCAUGUGUUGUGUGUGCGCGUGCACCGUACCACAUGUACCUGCUAGCGAUGACGAUGUGCAUUUCUGAAGGUGUCGUGCGCGCAGGCAGUGUGUGCCUUGAAGCUCCUUGUACGUUUUUUUAACACCUCCGCUCUCUCCUCAAGGCACCUCACCCUCCCCCCUCUCUCUUCCCUCAUCGUUCUCGUCGCUCUUACACGCACAGUCCCCACAUCACCCGCGUCCCUUACACGAGCGUGCCGCGCAACGAAGAAUGCAUGGCCUGUCGGCGUUUUUUUUUCUUCUCACCGUCUUGCCAGGUAUGCGUGUGCCAAAACCCUGCGCACGUGCGCAACGGAACUCAUAAGGCGAGGGCCAUGACCGUUGCUCAAGCCCAGUCAUGCUUGGCGUGUGUUUUUCCGUGAACUGUGCACCGACGCGUUUAAGAUGCUUCUUAUUAUCGGCGGCGCACCUUUCGCGCACCUGCGCCAGCACUUCAGCGCGCACCCACACCCACGCAGCUUAGCCCUCGUACCGAGCCAAGCAAAGACACGAAGCCCACGCUCACGCACGCGUGAGCAUGCAGUGCACGGUGCAGAGCAGCGUCACAGGACGAGAGGGAUAUAGGGAUGACACACCACUGCGUAUUUUUCCCGCCCCUCGCCUCCUUAACCAUGCCACGGACGACAGUUGCUACUGUUCCGCUCACUGCCGCGUGCUUCCAUUAUCCUCUACUCUCCGCAGUGUCUCUGCUCCGCUGCUGACUCGUCGGCCCACUUUCUGCAUGCUCGACGAAGUUGUGCGUGUGUGUGCGUGUUUUUUCUUCCGCUCCUGCCUCCUUCUCGCCGGUGUGCCCUGGAAAC
rnacentral:misc_RNA from 1 species